AACGAACGCUGGCGGCAGGCCUAACACAUGCAAGUCGAACGCCGUAGCAAUACGGAGUGGCAGACGGGUGAGUAACACGUGGGAACGUACCUUUCGGUUCGGAAUAACUCGAGGGAAACUUGAGCUAAUACCGGAUACGUGCGAGAGCAGAAAGAUUUAUCGCCGAAAGAUCGGCCCGCGUCCGAUUAGCUAGUUGGUGAGGUAAUGGCUCACCAAGGCGACGAUCGGUAGCUGGUCUGAGAGGAUGAUCAGCCACACUGGGACUGAGACACGGCCCAGACUCCUACGGGAGGCAGCAGUGGGGAAUAUUGGACAAUGGGCGAAAGCCUGAUCCAGCCAUGCCGCGUGAGUGAUGACGGCCUUAGGGUUGUAAAGCUCUUUCGCCAGGGACGAUAAUGACGGUACCUGGAUAAGAAGCCCCGGCUAACUUCGUG
rnacentral:rRNA from 1 species